GUUUCUGUAGUGCAGUGGUUAGCACGGUCGCCUCCUACGCGACAGACUCGGGUUCAAUCCCCGACUGAUACU
rnacentral:tRNA from 1 species